rnacentral:rRNA from 1 species
AUGGCGUCGAUGCAGGCUCCCGCGCCGGGGCCGUCAGGGUACCCGCCGCACGGCGGCCAGGCCGCGCGCCCGCAGUCCACGGCCGUCGCCGUCACGGCGGCCAGCAACGGCGCCGGAAACCCCUACGUGCAGGUCACCCCGGCCAGCGCGUCCCCCUCCACCUGCCAGUCCAUCAUGAAGGCGCUGGGGCGGUACGGCAAGCUGCUGGAGGACGGCACCCGCAAGGCCGCCGACACCACCGGCAACAUCUGGAACCACCUCCGGACGGCGCCGAACAUGGCGGACGCGGCGGUGGCGCGGCUGGCGCAGGGGACCAAGGUGUACGCGGAGGGCGGGCACGAGAGGGUGUUCCAUCAGGUGUUCGGCGCCGUGCCCGGGGAGCAGCUCCGCAAGGCCUACGCCUGCUACCUCUCCACCUCAUCCGGCCCCGUCAUCGGCACGCUCUACCUCUCCACGGCCCGCCUCGCCUUCUGCAGCGACUCCCCCGUCUCCUACCACGCCCCCUCCCCCACCCAGCCGCCGGAGCCCAUGUACUACAAGGUGGUGCUUCCGCUGAACCAGGUGAGGACGGUGAGCCCGUCCGCCAGCAUGUGGAGGCCGUCGGAGCGGUACAUCCAGGUGGCCACCACCGACAACCACGAGUUCUGGUUCAUGGGCUUCGUCUCCUACGACAAGGCGCUCAAGCACCUCUCCGACGCCCUGCAGCGCCGUCCCUGA